rnacentral:rRNA from 1 species
AGAAAAGAUCAAGUGCAUACGGUGGAUGCCUUGGCUCUCGGAGGCGAUGAAGGACGUGAUAAGCUGCGAUAAGCUUCGGUUAGGUGCAAAUGACCUUUUACCCGGAGAUUUCCGAAUGGGACAACCUGUCAGGCUGAAUGCCUGUCAUCCGAUUUUUUGGAGGCCAACGCGGGGAACUGAAACAUCUUAGUACCCGUAGGAAAAGAAAACAAAAGUGAUUCCCUUAGUAGUGGCGAGCGAAGUGGGAACAGCCCAAACCGAACGUGUUACGGCAUGUUCGGGGUUAUAGGACCGCGUUAUAGAUUUUUGACAGAUGAGAGGAAGUGGGUUGGAAGUCCCUGCCAUAGAAGGUGAUAGCCCUGUAUUUUUAGUUUGUCUUUAAUUUUAGCGGUAUCCUGAGUAGCGCGGAUCACGUGUAAUUCUGCGUGAAUUUGCCGGGCCCAUCCGGUAAGGCUAAAUACUCCCGAGAGACCGAUAGUGAACCAGUACCGUGAGGGAAAGGUGAAAAGUACCCCGUGCAGGGGAGUGAAACAGUUCCUGAAACCGUUUGCAUACAAGCGGUCGGAGCGGCUAUUUAUUAGCUGUGACGGCGUGCCUUUUGCAUAAUGAUCCUACGAGUUAUCGUCACUGGCGAGGAUAAGCAUCAUUAGUUGCGUAUUCGAAGGGAAACCGAGUCUUAAUAGGGCGUUUUUUUUUAGUCAGUGGUGAUAGACGCGAAACCAGGUGAUCUACCCUUGACCAGGGUGAAGGCCGGGUAACGCCGGUUGGAGGCCCGCACCAUUAAGCGUUGAAAAGCUUUUGGAUGAGUUGAGGGUUGGAGUGAAAGGCUAAUCAAACCUGGAGAUAGCUCGUACUCCCCGAAAUGCCUUUAGGGGCAGCCUUGUAUUUUGACAUCAUGAGGUAGAGCGACCAAUAGGAUGCGAGGGCUUCGCCGCCUAUCAAGUCCUGAUGAACUCCGAAUUCGUGUUGUAUUAAUUACAGGAGUGAGGUCACGGGUGCUAAGGUCCGUGUCCGAGAGAAGAACAAUUCAGACCAUCGUCUAAGGUCCCCCAGUGGCGGCUAAGUUAUUUUAACGAAGUUGGAAUUCAGUGACAGCUAGGAUGUUGGCUUGGAAGCAGCCAUUCAUUCAAAGAGUGCGUAACAGCUCACUAGUCGAGAAUUCCGGCGUGGAUAAUAAUCGGGUAUUAAGUCGUCCGCCGAAGACGUGGAAUUGGUGUUAUGUUUUACAUGAUACUGAUUGGUAGGGGAGCAUUCCAUUUACUUAGAAGGUUAUCUGUGAGGGUUGCUGGAGUUUAUGGAAAAGCAAAUGUAGGAAUGAGUAACGAUAAGGAGGGUUAGACUCCCUCCCGCCGAAAGACUAAGGUUUCCUGAUCUACGCUCAUCGGAUCAGGGUUAGUCGGGUCCUAAGGCUAAUUCGAAAGGAGAUGUCGAUGGUUCAAACGGUUAAUAUUCCGUUACUUCCUAUGCUUAGUGAUGUGGUGACGGAGCAGUGACAGCGCUGCCGGCAGACGGAAUUGCCGGUUAAAUGGUUUAGGUGUUGAUAGGUAUAGGCAAAUCCGUACCUUGAGCUGACCCUUAUAGUACAGACAUCUUUCGGGGUGUUUGAUAAUGCGUGUAAUCAUACUUCCAAGAAAACCCGCUAAACGUUUUUAUGGCAUAGGAACCCGUACCGUAAACCGACACAGGUAGUUGUGUAGAAUAUACUAAGGCGCUUGAGAGAAUCAUGGUUAAGGAACUAGGCAACUUGACCCCGUAACUUCGGGAUAAGGGGUCCUCCGUUUAUUCGGAGGCGCAGAGAAUAGGUCCAGGCAACUGUUUAUCAAAAACACAGGGCUGUGCUAAGUAUUACUACGAUGUAUACAGCCUGACACCUGCCCGGUGCCGGAAGGUUAAGAGGAGACGUUAUCGCAAGAGAAGCGUUGAAUUGAAGCCCCGGUAAACGGCGGCCGUAACUAUAACGGUCCUAAGGUAGCGAAAUUCCUUGUCGGGUAAGUUCCGACCUGCACGAAUGGUGUAAUGAUCUGGACGCUGUCUCAAUCAUGAUCUCAGUGAAAUUGUAGUAUCGGUGAAGAUGCCGAUUUCCCGCGAUGGGACGAAAAGACCCCGUGAACCUUUACUAUAGCUUAACGUUGCGUUUGGGCCACUGAUGUGUAGGAUAGGCCGGAGGCUUUGAAGUAGUGACGCCAGUCAUUAUGGAGCCGCUGUUGAAAUACGGCCCUUUUGUUGUCUGGAUGCUAACGCGUAUAUUUUCGCGGACACCGUUUGGUGGGUAGUUUGACUGGGGUGGUCGCCUCCAAAAUGGUAACGGAGGCUUCUCAAGGUACCCUCAUGACGAUUGGUAACCGUCAGUAGAGUGUAAUGGCAUAAGGGUGCUUGACUGAGAGACCUACAAGUCGAUCAGGUAGGAAACUAGAGCAUAGUGAUCCGGUGGUUCCGUAUGGAAGGGCCAUCGCUCAAAGGAUAAAAGGUACUCCGGGGAUAACAGGCUGAUCCCUCCCAAGAGCUCAUAUCGACGGAGUGGUUUGGCACCUCGAUGUCGGCUCGUCACAUCCUGGGGCUGGAGAAGGUCCCAAGGGUUGGGCUGUUCGCCCAUUAAAGUGGCACGCGAGCUGGGUUCAGAACGUCGUGAGACAGUUCGGUCUCUAUCUAUCGUGGGCGUUGGAAAUUUGCGUGGAUCUGACAUUAGUACGAGAGGACCGUGUUGGACAGACCUCCGGUUUACCGGUUGUGGCGCCAGCUGCAUAGCCGGGUAUCUGCGUCUGGUAUUGGAUAAGCGCUGAAUGCAUCUAAGUGCGAAGCCGACCACAAGAUUAGAUUUCCUUUGAGGGUCGUUGUAGACUACGACGUUGAUAGGCUGCAGGUGUAAAGGCGGUGACGUCAAAGCCGAGCAGUACUAAUUGCCCGAACUUUUCCUUGA